ensembl:lncRNA
AUGAUUAGACACACCCCAUCUGAGAAGUCUUCCCUCAUUUAAAUGUGGGGCAGUGAUGGCUGAUUUCCCCCUGAACUUGGGAAGUGGGGAGAAGGGAAAGAAACAUCUUUCUUAUGCCAGGAGCUUGGCAUAAGAAACCUCACCAAAGCCUCGGAGGCGGGUCUCAUGAGGACCCACUUCACAGGUGGCAAGCCUGAGCCUGCCAAGCAGUGGCUGCUGAGUGGCAGAGCCAGGAUUCACACUUCGGCUCCCAAAAAUAGCCAGGGUGUGUGCUGCAAGACCACAUUCCACUCGAACUUACGGCCUCCAUCUCUGCAGGAGCAGCCCCCUUAAUGGGGAGCAGAGUAAAACCACUGAGGACAGGACUCCUCUGGGACCUUGGCUGCCUUUGGUGAGGUGGAGUCACACACCUUACCCACUGACUGUCUGCAUGACUUGGGCCAGGGCUUCCACCUGCCGAGGAGCCUGUCUCCUUAGCAGUCAAAUGGGGAUUAAUAAGGAAUUCUUUCUUCAAUGAAGGAAUGAGGUCACGUGCCUUGUGAUGGUUGGUGAGAACAGGUCCAUCUGCAUCUGAGUGGUGGGCACCCAGAUGCCUGCAGAGCACAUCCUCACACACUGCAUGUGGCCUAAGGGACCUGAGAGAAUGUCUCAGGAUAAAUAUCAAGGAGCGGAAUUGCUACUUCUCGGGUGGGUGUAACUUCAUGUGCAUAAGAACCGGGAGAUUAGGAGAUGGCUUUCUUGAUUGGUUCCACCGGUGACCACUCCCACUCAGGACACCAGAGAUUCUCUAUGCCACGCCCAUGCCAGCACUUGGCAUAACCCAGCUUUCUAAUUCCUGCCAGUCUAAUCAAUGUAAGGUGAUAGCUCACUGUUAUUUUAAUUUGCAUUUCUCUGGUUACUAAUGAGUUUGCCCAUCUCUUCCUGAGCUGUUUGGCCUUUUCUGUUUCCACUUCUAUAAAUUGCUGGUUUAAUACAUUUGGUGCAUUUUUCCACUGGGUCCACUAUCUGAAAAACCUCCUCUGAGCUCCCAUCUGGCCAGCCUCCUUGGCUCCUUUGGAAGCCUGCACUGGCCCCUAGUGUCCUGGGCUGUCUGCACUCCCGUAAUUCCCUGGGUAUCACCUCCCAAGCCAGGGGCAGGGACUGUGUUGCAUCCUUACCCCUGCUCACCCAUCUGCCUCACUCAUUCACCCACUGGGUUCCCUUCACAACUGGGAUAAAAUUGAAACUCCUAACCAUAGCCAGAGGGUCCACUUUGGCCCCAGCUGACCCUGAGCACUUUUGAUGUCCCUGCUCACUUGCUUAAGUCACUUGGGCUUCCUGGCUGGGUCUGACCUGCCAUGCUCCUCCCCACCCUCCCUUCCUCCAGGCAGGCCCUCGUUUAGAAGUCACCUCCUCCCAGCCACGUAUGGUGGCUCAUGCCUGUAAUCCCAACACUUUAGAAGGGUGAGAAGGGCAGAUCACAAGGUCAGGAGUUCGAGACCAGCCUGGCCGAUGUGGUGAAACCCCAUCUCUACUAAAAAUAUAAAAAUUAGCCGGGCAUGGUAGUAGGUGCCUGUAGUCCCAGCUACUUGGGAGGCUGAGGCAGGAGAAUCACUUGAAUCUGGGAGGUGGAGGUUGCAAUGAGCAGAGAUUGCGUCACUGCACUCCAGCCUGGGCAACAGAGCAAAA